UAUUUAUGUUUAGGGAGGGCGUGGGGGCCAAAUGAAAACUGAUUAUUUUCUCUAUUCGAUGUUUGUUAAUCGAAGACGUGGGUCAGCCCUCCUCACGAGGAGACUUGGGGUUUCUUGGAGGAUAUCUGGGCUUGACAGGGUUUCUGAAUAUUGAAGGGGGGAUUAUACACUUGGUAACCCCAGAUGUUAUCAGGGGAAAAUGGGAUAUCAGAGGCAAAUUAGUGAAUUAGGAGGAGGAAUGGGGAAAAUUACUGGCGAUCGUUAAAAGUAAAUUAAAGGUGAAAAAACUGGCGUUGAUGAUCAUUGGAUAGCUAGGGAACUGAAUGCUUAUUUGACAAAUAAUUCGUAGAAGUUGAUUCAUGAGCAGGAGACGAUGAAUAACUAGGGGAAGUGAGGCUAGUCAGUAGCAUAAUUCAAGGCAAGAAAUGAGUCGACAACUAGUAAAAGGAAUUUCCCUGAAAAACUUGAAAAUAGGACGAAAAAUAAAUAGUGAGGUUAGGUCGCAGGGAAAGGGAUUAUUUCAAUGAUCCAAUGAGAUCAAUCAGGUUUUGGUUUUGGUAAAAAAGAAUUUUCUACUGAAAAAAACGUGGUACCUCCUCAAAUAAAAAUAUAUUCUGUUGAUUUAAUGAGAAAUUAAAUGUAAAUUUAAUUUUUCAUUAAGUGUAAUAACGAAUUGAGUGAAAAAAUACGGAUCUCAUUAUCUCCUCAUCGCCAAAAAUAUUCUCUCUCAAAAAGAGCACUGAGAGGGAAAAAAAAUGGUGAUGUAUGUAGAAAAAUAAAACGAUACGAGUGGGAAAUCAACGCUGUGCCUGCACUUUUGGCUGUCCGAUGCCUGGACGAUGUCGUCGCGACGAGGUAUCCGCGGGGGAGGGAUGGAGCAGAGGGGGAUCCGUGGGCGUAGCGGGGGCCGACAGAUCCUCCUCCGCUAGGCCACAUUUGAAACGAGAAAAAAAAAAUUGGAGAGAAAAAGGGAAGAGGCAUUGAGGUAGAGACGCUCUGCUCGGUUUUUAUACAAUUGCUCGGGCACCAGAGUAGGUGGUGGACAAGGAGGGGAAUUGACGAUUGAACGAGACUGGAAUUGUUGGAGUGAAGGAGGCGAAACAGAGGUCGAAACAUUAGAUGUUGGGGAAUUGCAGAUGUUGAGUGGGAAAUUGAGGAUUUAAAUAAAAUUGCGAUUAAGUUGGGAAUUAUGGGAAUGGAAAGGCACAUCUUGGGAACAAAUGACAAGAGUCAAACCAUAUUUAUUAGAUAGAACAGGGAACUGGUGCUGGGCAUUUCAAUCCCAGAAACUUGAAAAUCACAAAAAAAAGUCUGGUCCCGGGGCUGUUGAGGUGGGAUUUUUUUUACUCGUGUGGUUCACCAUCUCUGGCCUUCACCUGGGAUGCCAGCUCUACGUGAAUAAAAAAUACCCAUCGUCCCGACAGCCCGGAAAAAUCAUAUUUCCCUGGUCACACUCAGCUACUCAACUGGAGUUUAUUCACGUCAGCAUUAAAAAAAAAUGUCCAUGAUUGGAACUAAUAGUUGGAGAGGGGAUUAUUCUCAGAUCCUGAGACUUUUUUUUUUUCGUGGGGUUCAAUUGCUCGGUUAUAAUUCUGCCCGAUGCCAGCGCGUCGCCUCGUUUCCUUUGUGACGCCCCGAAGUGCCCAAAGGCCUCAAGACACACUCAGGUACAACGGCUGGGUCACACCGAUGGUUGUGUACUGUAUUGAACAGCAUCGAGAGACACGUUUCGAUUUCUUUUUUACUAUCUGGAGCUGUACCGGAUGACGAAUGCGCCUGGAAUUCUGUAUUUACUCGGGGGAGAAUGCUCGAGUUUCCGGAUCUUUCUGAUGAGUGCGGAUCAACGGCAUUUUUAUUGGAGCUCUUUCGUUUUUUGGGAAAACUCAGAAGUGAAGGUUAUGAAGCCCUUGUCCUCUUUUUUUUUCGUCACGGAUAUUCACGACCGCCCAAUUCCGUUAGUUCUUGUGAUGUUUGGUUAAUUAACAGGUGGAGAAUUAUUGGAGAAUUGGUUGGAGGUUGGUGUGAAGCUGUUGGUGGAACUGCCAGACUUUUUUUAACAUAUUAUCAGUUGAAAAUUACCUCUGUAAGCAGCCAUUAGAGACUACCAUGUUCUUCUGCGUGUACGUGACCCAAGGGACCUUGGUGUAAGAGAGAAAGCGAGAAAAGAAGCUGAUAAAUACGAAUACAGAUGCAUUGGGUAGAAAAUACAUCACGCGGGGCUGUGGAAUAGGGGGUCUGGGAGACUACUCCCGUGGUCGGGUAAGGUAUUUCGAGACAGACUCGCCACGAGAUAGAAUCUCCUUCUCCCUCGUUUACAAUUUCUCCUCUCUCUCCCCCCCCCCCCCUUCUGUCUCACUUUCUGCACCCUCAUGCUCCUUUGGACCAUGUGUGUGCGUCACACUGGGCAUCAGCCACACUCAUCCAGCGGGGCAACAAUUUUUCUACACAUGCAAAUCCCUUCUCAUCUUUUGCCCUUUUGCAAACUGAUGUGUCUGGACUUUAAAUAAAUUCCAAUAAUUUUUUUUCUCAAUACAUGAGGGGAUUUUUAAAUCACCCUUUAAAUAGAUUAAAGAGAUAUGCUCAUCCAUUUCACAGCGGAUUUCAUGUUGCGUUGAAGACUUUUUUUUUUUUUUU